rnacentral:rRNA from 1 species
UGGGGAAUAUUGCGCAAUGGGCGAAAGCCUGACGCAGCGACGCCGCGUGAGGGAUGAAGGUUUUCGGGUCGUAAACCUCUGUCAGAAGGGAAGAAACCGCACUGUGCUAAUCAGCAGUGCCUUGACGGUACCUUCAAAGGAAGCACCGGCUAACUCCGUGCCAGCAGCCGCGGUAAUACGGAGGGUGCAAGCGUUAAUCGGAAUUACUGGGCGUAAAGCGCACGUAGGCUGCUUUGUAAGUCAGGGGUGAAAUCCCACGGCUCAACCGUGGAACUGCCUUUGAUACUGCUUAGCUUGAAUCCGGGAGAGGGUGGCGGAAUUCCAGGUGUAGGAGUGAAAUCCGUAGAUAUCUGGAGGAACAUCAGUGGCGAAGGCGGCCACCUGGACCGGUAUUGACGCUGAGGUGCGAAAGCGUGGGGAGCAAACAGG